rnacentral:rRNA from 1 species
CGAGUGCGUUCAGAGUUUGAUCCUGGCUCAGGACGAACGCUGGCGGCGUGCUUAACACAUGCAAGUCGAACGAUGAUGACCGGAGCUUGCUUUGGUUGGAUUAGUGGCGAACGGGUGAGUAACACGUGAGUAACCUGCCCCCUUCUUCGGGAUAACCAUUGGAAACGGUGGCUAAUACCGGGUAUGACAUCGGAUCGCAUGGUUUGGUGUGGAAAGGUUUUUUCUGGUGGGGGAUGGGCUCGCGGCCUAUCAGCUUGUUGGUGGGGUGAUGGCCUACCAAGGCUUUGACGGGUAGCCGGCCUGAGAGGGCGACCGGCCACACUGGGACUGAGACACGGCCCAG